UAGAUGAAAGCCAAAAAGAGGCGUCUAGCUGUUAAUUAGAUAAUUGUAAAUUUAUUACUCAUUUAG
rnacentral:tRNA from 1 species